ACGAACGCUGGCGGCAUGCCUCACACCUGCAAGUCGAACGAGACCUUCGGGUCUAGUGGCGCACGGGUGCGUAACGCGUGGGAACCUGCCCUUAGGUUCGGAAUAACUCCCCGAAAGGGGUGCUAAUACCGGAUAAUGUCUUCGGACCAAAGAUUUAUCGCCUUUGGAUGGGCCCGCGUUGGAUUAGCUAGUUGGUAGGGUAAAAGCCUACCAAGGCGACGAUCCAUAGCUGGUCUGAGAGGAUGAUCAGCCACACUGGGACUGAGACACGGCCCAGACUCCUACGGGAGGCAGCAGUGGGGAAUAUUGGACAAUGGGCGAAAGCCUGAUCCAGCAAUGCCGCGUGAGUGAUGAAGGCCUUAGGGUUGUAAAGCUCUUUUACCCGGGAUGAUAAUGACAGUACCGGGAGAAUAAGCUCCGGCUAACUCCGUG
rnacentral:rRNA from 1 species